rnacentral:lncRNA from 1 species
CUACACCGAGAGGACUCGAAGAUACCGAUGCGGAAGUGCCUGGAUGCCGGGAUUGUACGCCUCGAUUCUAAGUCCUGAAGGGGGCGCAAAACAAACAUGAGUGGACCAAUUUGAUAUAAAUAUAAUAAAACAGUUAUCAACGUACUAACCCCCAGGUUUAUGAAAACAUAUAUAUAAUGAUAAACAUAGGUUUUCCGAAUUCUAGCAUGAUGCAGUAUCUCAAAUCAUAACUCAUAUAUAUAAUAAUCACUAGUGAAUUGUCCGAUAACCUGCAGGCCCCAUGCCGGCUCCCCGUCUUUGAGCAGACAGUCAGAGGAAAAUACACUUCAGGCCCCAUGCCGGCUCCCCGUCCCUGUGCUAAAUAGCCAGAGGGAAACAACUCCAGGCCCUAUGCCAACACCAAACCGUCGCCCGGGACGGACCGGAAUCUAUCCCCGAACCCUAUCCCGUAGCGAAAGGACCACUAGGUAAAUACAGUACAAAACCAUUGAAAAACAUACAUAUAUGAAAAAAACUUCAUAGUAUAAAGUCAUCCAUCAUCUAUACUAUAAAGAGGUGUUCGAAACAUGUUCUAAAUAUCAUAUCGUCAUCCAUCAGAUAUUCUAUAAGAACACGGGGGUUAUAGGAAAAAAUAGUAAAUAAUAAUAAUUCAAGGUAGUAGCCUCAGUAAGCAUGUUAUCUCACAAAACGUUUCAUAAAACGUAAAUAAUCAUUAAAUCAUGCAUUUCAUGUAUGCAUUUCUACUAUUAUUAAACAUGCUUUUGAAGGGGUCCACUCACAGUACUUAGCCGCCGAAGAGCCACGCAAACUAACGUCACCAAUAUUGCCCCUAAGCACAUAAAGGGUCCAAUUAAUAAAACUAUAUAAUAGCAAUUGGAUUUGGGAAAACGGACGUUGGAAACGGAUUCAGAACGUCGAAUUACCCUAAGAAGGGUCCCGGACGAAAACCCGAAAAGUCAACUCUAAAGUCAAUGUUGACCGGAGGUCAACGGUCAAAUUAGGUCUAACAGGUUUUAGGCUUGAAAUCCGGAUUAGGGUUUAGGUUAAAUAGGAUUAGGAUUUAUUGGGUUUUGGUUUUAGGGUUCUAAGAUUAAAAGGGUUUGGGUUAUAAAGGGUUUAGGGUGAAAAUGGGUAGUUUGGGCUUAAACCCCAAACACACACACACACCACAAACAAACACACACACACACACGGGCUGCACACACACAGCCCAUACACACACGGCCCAAAGGCCUAAUAACCAAAAGGGUUGGGUUUUGGGUUCUAAAGGGAAUGGGUUUUUAAAAGAAAAAGGGCUUAGGGCCCUGACUUGGAAAGCCCAAGGGCUUAAAAGCCUAGGGUUUUCUGGGUUGCUGCUCACGGGCCGAAGGCCCUGUUCCAAAUUGGCCCAAGGGGGAAAGGAAAGGCCGGAUGGCCUGGGUUUGUUGAAAGAGAAGGCCGGAAAUUCGGCCGGAAAACCACCUAACUUUAAACGGCCAUAACUUUGUCAAUACUCAACGAAAUCAAGCAAGACAAAAAUGAAAGUUGUAGCCCUUGAAGAGACGAAGAGAAUGGUACCUCACACGACGUCUAACUCGCCGUGGUUUGGCCGGAAAACGCCUCGAAAUCCGUCGGACUCGCCGGAAACUGGGUAAGAUUCAAAUGAGUAUAACUUCUUCAAUACUCAACGAAAUUAAGUGAAACAAAAAGGAAAGUUAUACUACUCGACGAGACGAAGAGAUUGAUACCUUGCACGCCGGCCAACUCGUCGUGGUUUGGCCGGAAAUGGCCUCGAAAGGGGGCGGUGCCUCGCCGGAGCUUACUCCGUGCCGUCGAACUCGCAGGGCAGGGUCCGGGGUUCGUUGCGAGCCUCUCUUCGAUGGUGACUCGGUCCUAGUGAGUCCAGGGGAAGAGAGAGAUGCGAGAGGUUGAGGGAGAGAGAGACAGGAGAGCUGAGAAGGAGAGAGCUACGGGAGGGAGAAACGAAGAAGAAGAAGAGAGAGAUCAGAACACAUAAAAAAAAUAAACAAGGUGGGCCCCACGGGCUCACCAAUUAAGGCUUUAAAACAAUUUUAAAAUAUAAAGGAGGGUUGGGGUGUUUCAAUCUACCACCCUUAUAAAAAAAUUUCGUCCUCGAAAUUUAAAACAACUUACUACACCGAAAAUACUUGAAAAUAGGAAGAAGAAUAAUAUAUAUAUAUAUGUAACGAAGAGAUCAGGUAAGAGCGGUUUCACAAAAGAGAAAAUGCCACGCCGUCGCGAUCGGCUGCAAUGAUUCCAUCUUUCGUGCCUCCAGGCUCAAACUUUUUUUUUUUUCCAUCAGUGUAAAAAUAGAACACAUACUUUAAUAAAAUAUAAAGUUGAAAACACAAAAUAGCUUAAGGCCAGAUAACGUCAAAAUAGAUAUGUACUAACAUAUAGUUCACAAACUCGAAUCAACUUAAAAAUAAAAACAGAAAUACUUUUCCAAAAACAUUUGUAACGUCAAAACAAUUAACUAGAGUAAAUGAAGUUAAAAUACUUAUACUGAAAACCAAAACUGAAAAAUGAGAGUGGGUCUCGCCCAAGAAUUCGAAAUGUCAUAUAUUCUGAGAAUAGAUGUGCCUUUAGGUCGAGUCCCAAGAAAUAAAAAUUCUGAAUCUGCAUCAGCUGCUGUAGACGAAUCUUCUUGCCCACUUGCUUAACGAACCCACCAAAUAAGCUAUCGAUAUCACAGUCUGCAGCCCGCAAUAUCGACCUCACAUUUGUUGUCUCGAUAGGCAAGUAGUAAUUUCUCAAAUGGUGUACAAUUUCACAUAUCGUAGGAUCGAUCCUCCAAAUACAAGUUCGCAAGACUUUUCAGUCAACCAGUGUUUUCCAUGAAAAACUAUCGUACCAGGUCGUAAAAAGUACCAUACACCAAACCGAACAAAACAGAAACUGUCGUCAUAAAACUCUAUCCAGCACCAAGCAUCAUAUCCUUCUCAGUUCUUCCAAAUGUGACCAACUACUUCAGAAUUUCACCAGUAAAGAACCCAUUUGAAAAUUGUACCUUGGGAUUCAAGAGAAGUGGCUACCAUGUUAGUAGUAGACCCAAAAGCUCAAAUCAAGCAAGCAGAAAACGAGAAGUCAUCUUCCUCAACACGCAGUAUCUCUUACGAACUGUUGUAGUGCUCAAUCCACCUCUCCAUUUUUGCUUAGUUGCAGAUUUCAAGUCAAACAAGAUCAAAAUUGGUGGAAAGAAGAACGACUCGCAAAUGGUCAUCCUAACAACCAAAGACCACACGCACAUUUCGAGAGAAGUGUAAAGAUUAUCCAAUUCUCGCUUCGACCGUCCUGUAGUGCCAUCUCAGAAUGCACCAAACAGAUCUGCUAGAAAUGUUUUAACAACCACGUACUCACAAUAAUAAGGUUCAGAAGUGGAGCAAUGGAAAUGUGCGUUGAGGCGAACACAUAUAGUUGGAAAAUAACCGAUGUGAUGCCUAUGAAUUCUAGUAAGAUGGUGAUACAAUAUGCUGACCUUCUGCACCAAAAUCUUCACCAGUCUCUUACCAAAAUACAGCUUAAACCUCAUACCCACAUGGAAUUCUUUAUGGUAAGUCUGGUAAGCUUGUGAAAAGAUUAUGCUCCCAACAUUCAUGUCCGAAUCAACACGAACUGGGUGCCCACUUUCACCGAAACGAUCGAUUGUGAAUUUCUCACUGGUUAGGCGAGAAACCAUGUCGAGAAGGCUAAAAUAAUACUCAAGAAUUUGAGGAUCAAAACAAGUCCAUAAAAAGAUAGAUUACAAGAAAUCAGGAUUUGAACUAGAAACCACGCCAAGAACAAGCUCAUAUUGUUCUGGCAUGAUUCAAUUUUAUAUUGAGAAACCAACAAGCGAAGGAAGAUAAAGAUGCAGAAAUAGAGUCAUUGUUUCUGAUUAUUUUGCAAAUCAUCACAGUAUGGUCAACUGGUUCUUAGCCAAAAGGAAAUAGGUCUAAGCUCAAGGAUAGUUAAUAACUGAUAAUAAGAUUUAACGAGGUCAAAACAUUACGAGAUUCACAAUACUUUGUGAGAGUUGUUUCAAAGUUCAGAAAUUAAACAUAGAAUCUCUGAAUCAGCAGAAUGACGAAGAAGAAAGAUACAAAGCAACCUGCGUAUGCAUGCAGUGACACGAUUGGCUACCUUAAAGUGAUGCUCUUGAGCAAACCAAAGCUCAAUGAGUCCAGAGAAGUUUAGAGUAAAGUUCGAUCUUCGUACAAUGAUAAACAUGGUAGAGUCUCAAGCCAUUACAAUGAAAAUUACAAGACUGAACAUUUAGGCUGCAAGCAAUAGACUAAGUUCACCUUCGCCAAAAAGUACGCAGACGAGGAAAUAGGGUUUGCCACCAGGUACCCAACCCAGGUGAAAUUCAAGGAAUCUGUUUAUCCAAACAAAACUGGAUAUUCAUCAUCCAAAUCCAACUACAACAACAACAAGAAUUGCAACUCAAUUUGAAAAUUAAUGAGAAUAACGUCUGCUACUGAGGAGUUUCUCAAGAUUUCAAUGUAGAGCCGACUCCGCCCGCAAUUCCUAGGGAACGCAUGUUGCAGAGUGGCAUCGCCAUUUCAAAUCUACAGCUGGUUUUAACCAGAAUUCCUCAAAUUGAGAUUUCUAAAACACGUCGCUGAGUAUCGAUCCGAUGCUGAAAGUCGUCCAACGAUUCAAACACGUCACCGAUGAGGCACAAUCCCGACACGAAUUCUUGAAUUUCAACAAGAAGGUGACAAUUCAAUCAGAGAGAGAUUCACACAACUGCACCGACUGGCACAAAAUCCGGAAGUCGUGACAUCCAAAUGAUGUCAAAACCAACACUUUAAGAGAAUAGAAAAGAACCCUAAGUAUGCUCUGAACAAACCACGCUCUGAAACCAAUCUGACACGCCCCGAUCCCGAUAUUUCCCCGAAUACCAGGAUAGGCACGUGCUGGCCGACACCAGAGGGUGACGAAAGCCAUUUAUUGAGUGCAAAUGCCGAACAAUGAAUAAUGAAUAUGCAUUUAAGGAACGUGUUCAGAGCACACAUCUAAUCUAGAACAUUAAAAGAAUUAAUGUAAAAAUUUAAUGAACACAGAAGUGGGUCCUACACCGAGAGGACUCGAAGAUACCGAUGCGGAAGUGCCUGGAUGCCGGGAUUGUACGCCUCGAUUCUAAGUCCUGAAGGGGGCGCAAAACAAACAUGAGUGGACCAAUUUGAUAUAAAUAUAAUAAAACAGUUAUCAACGUACUAACCCCCAGGUUUAUGAAACAUAUAUAUAAUGAUAAACAUAGGUUUUCCGAAUUCUAGCAUGAUGUGCAGUAUCUCAAAUCAUAACUCAUAUAUAAUAAUCACUAGUGAAUUGUCCGAUAACCUGCAGGCCCCAUGCCGGCUCCCCGUCUUUGAGCAGACAGUCAGAGGAAAAUACACUUCAGGCCCCAUGCCGGCUCCCCGUCCCUGUGCUAAAUAGCCAGAGGAAACACACUCCAGGCCCUAUGCCAACACCAAACCGUCGCCCGGGACGGACCGGAAUCUAUCCCUACGUCCCGUAGCGGAAAGGACCACUAGGUAAGUACAAAACCAUUGAACAUACAUAUAUUGAAAAACAACUUCAUAGUAUAAAGUCAUCCAUCAUCUAUACUAUAAAGAGGUGUUCGAAACAUGUUCUAAAUAUCAUAUCGUCAUCCAUCAGAUAUUCUAUAAGAACACGGGUUAUAGGAAAAAUAGUAAUAAUUCAAGGUAGCCUCAGUAAGCAUGUUAUCUCACAAAACGUUUCAUAAAACGUAAUCAUUAAAUCAUGCAUUUCAUGUAUGCAUUUCUACUAUUAAAACAUGCUUUUGAAGGGGUCCACUCACAGUACUUAGCCGCCGAAGAGCCACGCAAACUAACGUCACCAAUAUUGCCCCUAAGCACAUAAAGGGUCCAAUUAAUAAAACUAUAUAAUAGCAAUUGGAUUUGGGGAAAACGGACGUUGGAAACGGAUUCAGAACGUUGAAUUACCCUAAGAAGGGUCCCGGACGAAAACCCGAAAAGUCAACUCUAAAGUCAAUGUUGACCGGAGGUCAACGGUCAAAUUAGGUCUAACGGGUUUUAGGCUUGAAAUCCGGAUUAGGGUUUAGGUUAAAUAGGAUUAGGAUUUAUUGGGUUUUGGUUUUAGGGUUCUAAGAUUAAAAGGGUUUGGGUUAUAAAGGGUUUAGGGUGAAAAUGGGUAGUUUGGGCUUAAACCCCAAACACACACACACACCACAAACAAACACACACACACACCGGGCUGCACACACACAGCCCAUACACACACGGCCCAAAGGCCUAAUAACCAAAAGGGUUGGGUUUUGGGUUCUAAAGGGAAUGGGUUUUUAAAAGAAAAAGGGCUUAGGGCCCUGACUUGGAAAGCCCAAGGGCUUAAAAGCCUAGGGUUUUCUGGGUUGCUGCUCACGGGCCGAAUGCCCUGUUCCAAAUUGGCCCAAGGGGGAAGGGAAAGGCCGGAUGGCCUGGGUUUGUUGAAAGAGAAGGCCGGAAAUUCGGCCGGAAAACCACCUAACUUUAAACGGCCAUAACUUUGUCAAUACUCAACGAAAUCAAGCAAGACAAAAAUGAAAGUUGUAGCCCUUGAAGAGACGAAGAGAAUGGUACCUCACACGACGUCUAACUCGCCGUGGUUGGGUCGGAAAACGCCUCGAAAUCCGUCGGACUCGCCGGAAACUGGGUAAGAUUCAAAUGAGUAUAACUUCUUCAAUACUCAACGAAAUUAAGUGAAACAAAAAGGAAAGUUAUACUACUCGACGAGACGAAGAGAUUGAUACCUUGCACGCCGGCCAACUCGUCGUGGUUUGGCCGGAAAUGGCCUCGAAAGGGGCGGUGCUCGCCGGAGCUUACUCCGUGCCGUCGAACUCGCAGGGCAGGGUCCGGGGUUCGUUGCGAGCCUCUCUUCGAUGGUGACUCGGUCCUAGUGAGUCCAGGGGAAGAGAGAGAUGCGAGAGGUUGAGGGAGAGAGAGACAGGAGAGCUGAGAAGGAGAGAGCUACGGGAGGGAGAAACGAAGAAGAAGAAGAGAGAGAUCAGAACA